rnacentral:lncRNA from 1 species
GGCUUCAGUGGCUUGCGCGGUCGACCGUGCAUUUUUAAUUCUUAAUUUUCUUUUUAUUUUGUUUUGUACAAGAUAAAAGGUUUCUUAGCAGAAAGGUUUUCGAUUUUCGAACUGAGAGGCAAGUUAAUCGAGGCUAGCAAGGCAAGUUACGCGAGGAUAGCAAAGCAAGACGAGACGACUCAAAUUGCAUGAAUUUGCUUGCAGAUCAUGGGAUUUUUCCCCGGAACCUGGGCCGCCAAGGGCCUCUCGGAUCUUUUUAUAGAGAGGCAGCUCAUUUGAAGCCCAC